CACGAAUAUCAGAUCCCUGCAAAUUUGGACUGGUUUGGGUGGUGCACCUGGGAUGCAUUUUACAAGGCUGUUAACCCAGCAGGGAUCGAGGAGGGCCUUAAGAGAUGAUGGAAUUAGAGCUGAAGAAGCUAGAGGAAACCAUCAAAAAUAUACAUGAAGAAAUGUUUUAUCUCCGCGAAAGGGAGGAGGAAAUGCAGAACAG